rnacentral:rRNA from 1 species
AACGAACGCUGGCGGCGUGCCUAAUACAUGCAAGUCGAACGAGGAAGGCCCGCAAGGGCUUGUACGAGUGGCGCACGGGUGAGUAAUACGUGGGUAAUCUCCCUUUUAGUGGGGAAUCACUCUCCGAAAGGAGAGCUAAUACCGCAUAAGACCAUAGAUGCUGAGGCAUCAAGGGUUAAAGAGGGCCUCUUCUUGAAAGCUCUCGCUAAUUGAUGAGCCCGCGUCUGAUUAGCUAGUUGGUAGAGUAAUAGCCUACCAAGGCUGUGAUCAGUAGCUGAUCUGAGAGGAUGAUCAGCCACACUGGAACUGAGAUACGGUCCAGACUCCUGCGGGAGGCAGCAGUAGGGAAUAUUGCGCAAUGGGCGAAAGCCUGACGCAGCAACGCCGCGUGAGCGAUGAAGGCCUUCGGGUCGUAAAGCUCUGUUUGUAUAGGAAGAAAAAGAGACACCUAACACGUGUUUUGUUGACGGUACUGUAUAAGAAAGGACCGGCUAA